UGGAUCUCCAUUGAAUGUGACCAAUGGUAAAUUGCACUAUAACGCAACGACGUUUGGAUCAACCGCUUCUCUUGUCUGUGAAAGAGGAUAUGAUGGAAACGGUACAAUAAGCUGCCUUGCCACUGGCAGUUGGGAAACCCCACCAAAAUGUUCUAUUAAAGACUGUGGAUCUCCAUUGAAUGUGACCAAUGGUAAAUUGCAGUAUAACGCAACGACGUUUGGAUCAACCGCUUCUCUUGUCUGUGAAAGAGGAUAUGGUGGAAACGGUACAAUAAGCUGCCUUGCCACUGCCAGUUGGGAAAGCCCACCAAAAUGUUCUAUUAAAGACUGUGGAUCUCCAUUGAAUGUGACCAAUGGUAAAUUGCACUAUAUCGCAACGACGUUUGGAUCAACCGCUUCUCUUGCCUGUGAAAGAGGAUAUGAUGGAAAUGGUACAAUAAGCUGCCUUGACACUGGCAGUUGGGAAAACUAACCAAAAUGUUCUA